CUAACUUUCCCUGGGACAACAGCUACCCGAGACCCAGGCAGAGCACAUAUUGCGGCCACAGGAGCUGACCUGCUAAAACACCAAACCCGUGGAUCUGUUUUGGGCAUAGGACCAUGUGUGCGACCAAGUUCCGCUGCCUGCGUGCGACAAGAUGGCCGCCAUUUUCUUCACCACGUGGCGUUCGGCUAUACGCAUUCUUGUGGUUUGUUUCAACUUAACGAGCCAGGAGGGUCGUCAGUGUUCGUGAUUAGUUCGGCAAACAAAAUAAGAAGAGAAAUAGUACCAAAUGCACGAACGGAAUAUAAAAAGGGCAUAUUUGUCACAUAGCUCCCCCCGAGUUCCACGGGAUGGCACACCCACCU